AGAGUUUGAUCAUGCCUCUAGACGAACGCUGGCGGCGUGCCUAAUACAUGCAAGUCCUGCGGAUUUAUCCUUCGGGAUAAGUUAGCGGCGGACGGGUGAGUAACACGUAGGUAACCUGCCUAUAAGACUGGGAUAACUAUCGGAAACGAUAGCUAAGACCGGAUAACUGGUUUUCUCGCAUGAGAGAAUUAUGAAACACGGAGCAAUCUGUGGCUUAUAGAUGGGCCUGCGGCGCAUUAGCUAGUUGGUGAGGUAACGGCUCACCAAGGCGACGAUGCGUAGCCGACCUGAGAGGGUGAACGGCCACACUGGGACUGAGACACGGCCCAGACUCCUACGGGAGGCAGCAGUAGGGAAUCUUCCGCAAUGGACGCAAGUCUGACGGAGCAACGCCGCGUGAGUGAUGAAGGUUUUCGGAUCGUAAAGCUCUGUUGCCCUAGACGAACAGCAAGGAGAGUAACUGCUCUUUGUGUGACGGUAUAGGAGAAGAAAGCCCCGGCUAACUACGUGCCAGCAGCCGCGGUAAUACGUAGGGGGCAAGCGUUGUCCGGAAUUAUUGGGCGUAAAGCGCGCGCAGGCGGUCAAUUAAGUUGGGUGUUUAAGCCCGGGGCUCAACCCCGGGUCGCAUCCAAAACUGGUUGACUUGAGUGUAG
rnacentral:rRNA from 1 species